ACGGAGGGUGCAAGCGUUAUCCGGAUUCACUGGGUUUAAAGGGUGUGUAGGCGGGCUGUUAAGUCAGUGGUGAAAUCUCAAGGCUCAACCUUGAAACUGCCAUUGAUACUAUCAGUCUUGAAUCUUGUUGAGGUAGGCGGAAUAUGUCAUGUAGCGGUGAAAUGCUUAGAUAUGACAUAGAACACCGAUUGCGAAGGCAGCUUACUAAACAAGCAUUGACGCUGAGGCACGAAAGCGUGGGGAUCAAACAGGA
rnacentral:rRNA from 1 species